GAUGAACGCUGGCGGCGUGCCUAAUACAUGCAAGUCGAGCGAACGGACGAGAAGCUUGCUUCUCUGAUGUUAGCGGCGGACGGGUGAGUAACACGUGGAUAACCUACCUAUAAGACUGGGAUAACUUCGGGAAACCGGAGCUAAUACCGGAUGAUAUUUUGAACCGCAUGGUUCAAAAGUGAAAGACGGUCUUGCUGUCACUUAUAGAUGGAUCCGCGCUGCAUUAGCUAGUUGGUAAGGUAACGGCUUACCAAGGCAACGAUGCAUAGCCGACCUGAGAGGGUGAUCAGCCACACUGGAACUGAGACACGGUCCAGACUCCUACGGGAGGCAGCAGUAGGGAAUCUUCCGCAAUGGGCGAAAGCCUGACGGAGCAACGCCGCGUGAGUGAUGAAGGUCUUCGGAUCGUAAAACUCUGUUAUUAGGGAAGAACAUAUGUGUAAGUAACUGAGCACAUCUUGACGGUACCUAAUCAGAAAGCCACGGCUAACUACGUG
rnacentral:rRNA from 1 species